CAGUAGCCACGGUAAAACGGAGGGCGCGAGCGUACCCGGAUUUACUGGGCGUAAAGGGCGUGUAGGCGGCCUGGGGCGUCCCAUGUGAAAGGCCACGGCUCAACCGUGGAGGAGCGUGGGAUACGCUCAGGCUAGAGGGUGGGAGAGGGUGGUGGAAUUCCCGGAGUAGCGGUGAAAUGCGCAGAUACCGGGAGGAACGCCGAUGGCGAAGGCAGCCACCUGGUCCACUUCUGACGCUGAGGCGCGAAAGCGUGGGGAGCAAACCGGAUUAGAUACCCCAGUAGUCCCUGUCUCUUAUACA
rnacentral:rRNA from 1 species